rnacentral:tRNA from 1 species
GGAGGUAAAGCUCAGUGGUAGAGCACGUGCCUAGCACGCACGAGAUCCUGGGUUCAACCCCUAGUAUCUCCA